UAGGGGAGUCUGGAAUUCCUGGUGUAGCGGUGAAAUGCGCAGAUAUCAGGAGGAACACCGGUGGCGAAGGCGGGACUCUGGGCCGAUACUGACGCUGAGGAGCGAAAGCGUGGGGAGCGAACAGGAUUAGAUACCCUGGUAGUCCACGCCGUAAACGUUGGGCGCUAGGUGUGGGGGUCCUUCCACGAUCUCCGUGCCGCAGCUAACGCAUUAAGCGCCCCGCCUGGGGAGUACGGCCGCAAGGCUAAAACUCAAAGGAAUUGACGGGGCCCGCACAAGCGGCGGAGCAUGCGGAUUAAUUCGAUGCAACGCGAAGAACCUUACCAAGGCUUGACAUGCACGGGAAAGUUCCAGAGAUGGUUCCCCCGCAAGGUCCGUGCACAGGUGGUGCAUGGUUGUCGUCAGCUCGUGUCGUGAGAUGUUGGGUUAAGUCCCGCAACGAGCGCAACCCUUGUCUUAUGUUGCCAGCACGUGAUGGUGGGGACUCAUAAGAGACUGCCGGGGUCAACUCGGAGGAAGGUGGG
rnacentral:rRNA from 1 species